CGAAUGCUGACAUAAGUAACGAUAAAGCGGGUGAAAAGCCCGCUCGCCGGAAGACCAAGGGUUCCUGUCCAACGUUAAUCGGGGCAGGGUGAGUCGACCCCUAAGGCGAGGCCGAAAGGCGUAGUCGAUGGGAAACAGGUUAAUAUUCCUGUACUUGGUGUUACUGCGAAGGGGGGACGGAGAAGGCUAUGUUGGCCGGGCGACGGUUGUCCCGGUUUAAGCGUGUAGGCUGGUUUUCCAGGCAAAUCCGGAAAAUCAAGGCUGAGGCGUGAUGACGAGGCACUACGGUGCUGAAGCAACAAAUGCCCUGCUUCCAGGAAAAGCCUCUAAGCAUCAGGUAACAUCAAAUCGUACCCCAAACCGACACAGGUGGUCAGGUAGAGAAUACCAAGGCGCUUGAGAGAACUCGGGUGAAGGAACUAGGCAAAAUGGUGCCGUAACUUCGGGAGAAGGCACGCUGAUAUGUAGGUGAAGUCCCUCGCGGAUGGAGCUGAAAUCAGUCGAAGAUACCAGCUGGCUGCAACUGUUUAUUAAAAACACAGCACUGUGCAAACACGAAAGUGGACGUAUACGGUGUGACGCCUGCCCGGUGCCGGAAGGUUAAUUGAUGGGGUCAGCGCAAGCGAAGCUCUUGAUCGAAGCCCCGGUAAACGGCGGCCGUAACUAUAACGGUCCUAAGGUAGCGAAAUUCCUUGUCGGGUAAGUUCCGACCUGCACGAAUGGCGUAAUGAUGGCCAGGCUGUCUCCACCCGAGACUCAGUGAAAUUGAACUCGCUGUGAAGAUGCAGUGUACCCGCGGCAAGACGGAAAGACCCCGUGAACCUUUACUAUAGCUUGACACUGAACAUUGAGCCUUGAUGUGUAGGAUAGGUGGGAGGCUUUGAAGUGUGGACGCCAGUCUGCAUGGAGCCGACCUUGAAAUACCACCCUUUAAUGUUUGAUGUUCUAACGUGGACCCGUGAUCCGGGUUGCGGACAGUGUCUGGUGGGUAGUUUGACUGGGGCGGUCUCCUCCUAAAGAGUAACGGAGGAGCACGAAGGUUGGCUAAUCCUGGUCGGACAUCAGGAGGUUAGUGCAAUGGCAUAAGCCAGCUUGACUGCGAGCGUGACGGCGCGAGCAGGUGCGAAAGCAGGUCAUAGUGAUCCGGUGGUUCUGAAUGGAAGGGCCAUCGCUCAACGGAUAAAAGGUACUCCGGGGAUAACAGGCUGAUACCGCCCAAGAGUUCAUAUCGACGGCGGUGUUUGGCACCUCGAUGUCGGCUCAUCACAUCCUGGGGCUGAAGUAGGUCCCAAGGGUAUGGCUGUUCGCCAUUUAAAGUGGUACGCGAGCUGGGUUUAGAACGUCGUGAG
rnacentral:rRNA from 2 species